CGCAUCUGUGCAUGCAGCAUAUCAAUAAGCGGAGGAAAAGAAACUAACAAGGAUUCCCCUAGUAACGGCGAGUGAAGCGGGAAGAGCUCAAAUUUGAAAUCUUAAAGGGUUUCCCUUUACGAAUUGUAGUUUAAAGAAGUGUUUUCUGUUGAGGUUUUGGUAAAAGUUCUUUGGAAUAGGACAUCAUAGAGGGUGAGAAUCCCGUAUUUGACCUUUACUUUCAACUUUGUGAUACACUUUCAAAGAGUCGGAUUGUUUGGGAAUGCAGUCCAAAAUGGGUGGUAAAUUUCAUCUAAAGCUAAAUAUUGGCGAGAGACCGAUAGCGAACAAGUACCGUGAGGGAAAGAUGAAAAGAACUUUGAAAAGAGAGUUAAACAGUACGUGAAAUUGUCAAAAGGGAAGCGUUUGACACCAGUGUUGUUUUUCUGAAAAUCAAUUAAAGAACUGUUUAUGCUAAGUUGUUUAGACUUUAUCAGCUAACUGUUUAGUUUUGAGCUUUUCUUUAAUGCACCUUUUCAGUUAACAAGUCAACAUCAAUUUCUUUUGCUGUAAAAAAGCUUGAGGAAGGUGGCUUGAGAUUCGUCUUAAGUGUUUAUAGCCUCUUGCCUAUGCAGUCGGAGAGAUUGAGGUCUGCAGCGUAGAUCCUUCGGGGCUAAAUGCAUUUGUGCUAAGUUAUAGCAUUUUAUAGACAACUUGUUGACUAUGAUUUGUCUUGUAGCUUACUCGCUUAUGUUAUUUUACCUACGCUUAGGAUGUUGAACGCGCACAGAGUCUC
rnacentral:rRNA from 1 species